UACGUAGGCAGCAAGCGUUGUUCGGAAUUACUGGGCGUAAAGAGUGUGUAGGCGGUGCUCCAAGUCUGGUGUGAAAUCUCCCGGCUUAACUGGGAGGGUGCAUUAGAAACUGGAAUGCUAGAGGAUGGGAGAGGUAAGCGGAAUUCCUGGUGUAGCGGUGAAAUUCGUAGAUAUUCGGAAGAACACCAGUGGCGAAGGCGACUUACUGGACACAUAUUGACGCUGAGGUGCGAAAGCGUGGGGAGCAAACAGG
rnacentral:rRNA from 1 species